UUUGGUGGGAAUUUUCCGCAAUGGGCGAAAGCCUGACGGAGCAAUACCGCGUGAGGGAGGAAGGCUCUUGGGUUGUAAACCUCUUUUCUCAGGGAAUAACUUUGAAGGUACCUGAGGAAUCAGCAUCGGCUAACUCCGUGCCAGCAGCCGCGGUAAUACGGAGGAUGCAAGCGUUAUCCGGAAUGAUUGGGCGUAAAGGGUCCGCAGGUGGCAGUGAAAGUCUGCUGUUAAAGAGUCUGGCUCAACCAGAUAAGGGCAGUGGAAACUACACAGCUAGAGUGAGGUAGGGGCAGAGGGAAUUCCUGGUGUAGCGGUGAAAUGGGUAGAGAUCAGGAAGAACACCGGUGGCGAAAGCGCUCUGCUAGACCAGAACUGACACUGAGGACGAAGGUUUU
rnacentral:rRNA from 1 species